rnacentral:misc_RNA from 1 species
GAUGAAGAACGUAGCGAAAUGCGAUAAGUAGUGUGAAUUGCAGAAUUCAGUGAAUCAUCGAAUCUUUGAACGCACAUUGCGCCCCUUGGUAUUCCAUGGGGCAUGCCUGUUCGAGCGUCAUUUGUACCUUCAAGCUCUGCUUGGUGUUGGGUGUUUGUCUCGCCUCUGCGUGUAGACUCGCCUCAAAACAAUUGGCAGCCGGCGUAUUGAUUUCGGAGCGCAGUACAUCUCGCGCUUUGCACUCAUAACGACGACGUCCAAAAGUACAUUUUUACACUCUUGACCUCGGAUCAGGUAGGGAUACCCGCUGAACUUAAGCAUAUCAUUAAGCGGAGGA